rnacentral:rRNA from 1 species
CCUACGGGUGGCAGCAGUGAGGAAUAUUGGGCAAUGGGCGCAAGCCUGAACCAGCAAAGCCGCGUGAAGGACGAAGGCUUUCGGGUUGGAAACUUCUUUUCUCAGGGACGAAGCAAGUGACGUUACCUGAGGGAUAAGCCACAGCUAACUAGGUGCCAGCAGCCGCGGUAAUACGUAGGUGGCAAGCGUUAUCCGGAUUUACUGGGUGUACAGGGCGUGUAGGCGGGAAAGCAAGUCAGAUGUGAUAACCAUGGGCUCAACCUGUGGCCUGCAGUUGAACCUGUGGUUCUUGAGUACUGGGGAGGCAGACGGAAUUCCUAGUGUAGCGGUGAAAUGCGUAGAUAUUAGGAGGAACACCAGUGGCGAAGGCGGUCUGCUGGACAGCAACUGACGCUGAGGCGCGAAAGCGUGGGGAGCAAACAGGAUUAGAUACCCCGGUAGUC